rnacentral:lncRNA from 1 species
CAAUGAUGAUGAUGGUAAGAGGAGGCUGGGGACCUACCACCAGCACUUAUUAGGGGGACUCUGGGCAAUGGCCAGAAAGCCCACUAAUUUGAGUAAGUACCAGGCCGUUGCUGUAUGCUUCAUGCAUCAAAUUCACCUGAGAAAUGACCCUCAAUCUGGCCACCUUACUCCUGGACUCCGACUCAUACACAUGCCCCUCCAUGACUGUCUGGACACUCUGACAACUUCCACCACCAACAGCCCAGAUCUGACUGAUGUUGCCCUGCAAAGCCCAGAUGAGUCCUUCUUCACUGAUGAAAACAGCUUCAUGGAAGACUGAAUCAGUCUCUUCAAGCCUUACAGAUUCUUCAGAGUGAGAUCCAGGCUACAAAACAACAGGCUUGAGAAAAAAAAACCUUUGCAAUGUUCCAGCCCCAUGGUUUCAAGCCAGGAGACCUGGUCCUGAUAUGCUUGGUUUGCUUGCACCGAGGACUUGACUAAAUACAUUCCCAAAUCAAUCUUGGCUACCCAAUCUGCCACUUUAUUUUGUGUCACUGUGUAUGUUGUUCCACAAGUCUUGUAUUAUAAUAAAAGAGGGGGCUGCAAACAUCUGGGAUUAACCACUGAACACUACAGGAGUAAACGAG